rnacentral:rRNA from 1 species
GAUGAACGCUGGCGGCGUGCCUAAUACAUGCAAGUCGAGCGAAGCGGGGACGGGUGAGUAACACGUGGAUAACCUCCUAUAAGACUGGGAUAACUUCGGGAAACCGGAGCUAAACCGGAUACUUAGAGAUGGAUCCUCGCUGCAUUAGAUAGUUGGUAAGGUAACGGCUUACCAGGGCAACGAUGCAUAGCCGGCCUGAGAGGGUGAUCGGCCCAACUGUACCUGGGACACGGUCCAGACUCCUACGGCAGGCAGCAGGAGGGAAUCUUCCGCAAUGGGCGAAAGCCUGCCGGAGCAACGCCGCUUGAGUGAUGAAGGUCUUCGGAUCGUAAAACUCUGUUAUUCGGGAAGCGGUACCUAAUAAGAAAGCCACGGCUAACUACGUGCCAGCAGCCGCGGUAAUAA